rnacentral:lncRNA from 1 species
CAACGGAAACUCGGGUCAUAGAAUUGCACUAGAGUGUGCACUAGCUUCUCUUCAACAUUGGUCCGGAGAAUAGUAAGCAAACCACCAUAUCGGAGUCGGAAACCUGUUUGAUUCUUAACCUUGAGUGCCAAUUCUCUCAAACUAACCAAAUCAACCUCCUUGAACUUGUAGGAUUUAGUCUUCUUCAUACCUGUAAUGUUUACAAAGUUUUUAAUUUGUCCAGUCCUUCGAUGAAUGCAUGAGAAAAAUUUAUGCAUGAAUGCAUGUAUGCA